AUGUGCUCAGUGUGGUUACAUCUAUUGCAGAUUGUGUAAUAGAAGAGAAAUCGUGCGUAAAAACAAUAUCAUCCUACUAAGGCACAAGCUAUUUUAUGGGAUUGUAGAGUCCCACUUUAAGUUAUUAUAUGAACUUUGGGAACGUGUAUUGCGAGCAUGUGAUGGCGGAAGUGUCGUGCAUCCAUUCUUCAUCUUAAAAGCGAUUAAUAUUUUUAGCUCCUCGAGACACCAAAGCGAGCAGGGAGGAUGAACAACACCAAAUAUCCUGCAAGCAGCUGGCGCAUAUGGCUGAUACUUUUUUGUUGUUCCCUAAAUACACCUUAUGUAUCAUCCUGGUCCGUGUCCCAGUCGCCUGACUUUGCCGAGGUGAUGGUGGGUAACCCCAUUACACUGAAAUGCCACAACACGGGCUUCACGUUACCUUCCAAUUCCUGCGAGUCCACCAUUUGGACGAGAGUACACCCUAGGACCGGGGAAUUGCUUGAUGUCGAUCUCUCAGAUAAAAUAUUUAGGACGAACGAAAUGACAAAAUCAUGUGAUUUAACAGUUAUAGGCCAGAGCCAGGAAUAUUCUGGUGUGUACUAUUGUUGGAUUAAAAUGACAAGUAUUGGAAUAUUUGGUAAUGGAUCAAGAGUGUUAUUCACAGAAAAUGUUACUGCUUCUAUGGAACUUUUUUCGCCAUCGGACAACAACGGCUCAAGUGUCCCGUUCAUCUGUUGGGCGAAGGGAGUUAGUCCAUCACAAGUCCGUAUCUUCUGGAUUGUAGAUGGACGUGAAUACAAUGGAGUUUCUGAAUCUAUUUGGUCAAACGACAGUCAUUCAGCAACAGAAUUCACUCAAAGUCAAUUUUGGCUUUCUGAAUGGAACUUGGAAGAUGGGAUACAGUGCACAUGUGUGGUGGAAACAGGAGGGAGGAACAUAUCAAGAACUAUUCAACAUCCUAUGCCAGGUGAAUUAACCACAGUGAAAUUAUAUUGAAUCCUCUUAAAAUCAAGUUCAUAUAGUGAAAUGUUGCUUAAGCAUGUAUAUAAAUCUUAGAGCCUCUGAAUUCACCAAAAUUGGAGUUAGAAUAUGUUCUUGUCCUCUAGGAUAAUUUGGCUACUUACGUCAUGCACUUGACAAUGGCCCUGUGCGUCUAAUGUAGCGUAAUUAUAUUUUAAAUUAAGAUUAAGGUUUGUCGUAAUUGGGGUACUAUACAAAAU